UUUUUUUUCUUCGUAUUUUUAGUAGAGACAGGGUUUCACCGUAUUAGCCAGGAUGGUUUCGAUUUCCUGACCUAGUGAUCUGCCCGCCUCGGCCUCCCAAAGUGCUGGGAUUACAAGCAGAUGAAAUCCCAUUAUUUUGCCCAGGGUCAUCUAUAACUUCUGAGCUCAAGACAUCCUCCUGCUUUUACCUUCCAAAGUGCUGGGAUAGAGGUUUUGUGCAAAUAUCUGCUGAGUAAACUACUUAUUUGAAAAGACAUCAUUGGUUAAUAUUCCCUUUUGCUCAUUGAAAUCUCAAAGACUAGAGGUGUGGUGCAAUUCCGUUAGAUGAAAGAGAUCUACACAUUCAGAAGCACAUGAUUCUUCCCCCUUCCAUGAUUCCAGUGGCCAAUAGAAACUUUUGCCUGACCCAUGAUCACAUAGGUGCCUAAUAUCAGGUUGAGAGAAAUCUUCUUACACUACAAAUUGCCUGAGAGUUUGCACCAUAAUUAAAUUCCAAAUAUUGUCAAAAGAAUGGAGUGUAGUGGCGUGAUCUUGGCUCACAACAACUUCUGCUUCCCACAUUCAAGCGAUCCUCCCACCUUAUCCUCCUGAGUAGCUGGAACCACAGACAAACUGCAAUAAAGCCAUGCCCCGACUGGAUGUGCCUAACAUUUGUCUGGUGCUUAAAGGAGUUGGCUGCAUGCAUGGAAAUGUUGGAAAGUCACCAAAAAUAGUUCUCCAAGUCAGAAGCGGUGCAAAAGCUGCCUCAACUCUUGGUGGAUUUUCAAUUUCUCCCAGCCAUCUCUGUUUCUCUAAAGGUUUCUGAAGACAGUGGGUAUG
rnacentral:lncRNA from 1 species